rnacentral:rRNA from 1 species
UUGGUGAGGUAACGGCUCACCAAGCCGAAGACGGGUAGCGGGUGUGAGAGCAUGACCCGCCGCAUCGGGACUGAGACACUGCCCGGACUCCUACGGGAGGCUGCAGUAACGAAUAUUCCGCAAUGCGCGAAAGCGUGACGGAGCAAUGCCGCGUGUGGGAUGAAGGCGCUCUGCGUCGUAAACCACUGUCAGGUCCUAGAACCAACGAUCAGGACCAGAGGAAGGGCCGGCUAAACUCGUGCCAGCAGCCGCGGUAAGACGAGUGGCCCAAGCGUUAAUCGGAAUCACUGGGCUUGAAGCGUGCGCAGGCGGACCUUUAGGCAUCCCGUGAAAUGCCCCAGCUCAACUGGGGAAUUGCGGGGUGAACCAUUGGUCUUGAGGCAGGUAGGGGGGUGCAGAACUGUCGGUGGAGCGGUGAAAUGCGUAGAUAUCGACAGGAAUGCCGAAGGCGAAGGCGGCACCCUGGGCCUGUCCUGACGCUCAUGCACGAAAGCGUGGGGAGCAAACAGGAUUAGAUACCCU